UUCGUGAACUCAAAAGAAAAAGAGUUCUAAAUGCUCAUAAAAGUUCAUUUGAUUGAACUAAUUUGUUUAAUUUAAGUUUGCGCUACUCAAACCAAUUAAUCAUUUUGAGCGUUAAGGUUGACAGUGUUCGUAAUACUGCUGAUUAAGUGCGUUAAGGCCCGUUCACACCAAGGACAAUAACUUUAACUUUAAUAAUUGUUCUAAUUCUACAAGAAUAGGAAAGUACACCACAACUAUUACAUUAACAACACUGAGGAACGAUAUCAUUGGAAUUGCUUUCAGAAUGAUUUUUCCCAGCUGAUGUACGAUGAAAACAUUGACAGGACCUCGAGCAUUUAAAGGUGCCAGAUGACAAAAUUACAGCACGUUUAUAAUAUACAGAACAAUAUCAUCCAUUGGUGUGAACAGGCCGCCCGAAGAUUUAUUAGUUUAUUAGACUUGAAAAUAAAAAUCAAACAACACACCGUAAACAAAAAAGUCCAUAAUAUUCAUAAACUGGAUUUUAAAAAAAAUGUUAAAAGCCAAAGAAAUCUACAGGAUCACAUUUAUGAAAUAGCACACUAAACAUCUAACCCAGUCCUCUUUAUUUUCCAGGCUUUUAAAUCAAUCUUUGGAGACUUCACUAAAAUAAACUUCUCAAAUGAGCAAGCAGCAUCUCAGAUCAAAGAUGAAACAAGGUUAUUUUAUUCACUUCUACUCUGAGAGGGUCCAGACAUAAACGCAGGACUAACGGAGGGUCGCUCUCGUCAGAGGAAUAUGAAAAAUGAUCUAUCUGUCUAGGGUCCACAGAUCCAUCAUCCAUCAGAAGUGAGAGGAAAGAGAGAACAGAUUGACAAGGAGUGAAAGGGUUUGCCAAGUACUGUCAGUACUGUACAGAGCACAACAAAGGUACAUCAGUGACACGUCCCAGGAACCCGU